rnacentral:misc_RNA from 1 species
GAUGAAGAACGUAGCGAAAUGCGAUACUUGGUGUGAAUUGCAGAAUCCCGUGAACCACCGAGUCUUUGAACGCAAGUUGCGCCCGAAGCCACUAGGCCGAGGGCACGCCUGCCUGGGCGUCACACGCCGUUGCCCCCCCAUCUACUCCUUCGGGAUUGCGGGGGGGCGGAUGAUGGCCUCCCGUGCGCCUAGCCGCGCGGUUGGCAUAAAUACCAAGUCCUCGGCGACGCACGCCACGACAAUCGGUGGUUGCGAAACCUCGGUUGCCCGUCGUGUGCGUUCGUCGCGCAUCGAGGGCUCGAAAAAAUGCUCGGCUCCGGCUGGGCUUUCAACGCGACCCCAGGUCAGGCGGGGUUACCCGCUGAAUUUAAGCAUAUCAAUAAGCGGAGGA